AUCAGCAUGCUGCGGUGAAUACGUUCCCGGGCCUUGUACACACCGCCCGUCACACCAUGGGAGUCGGUAACACCCGAAGUCGGUAGCCUAACCGUAAGGAGGGCGCCGCCGAAGGUGGGAUUGAUGACUGGGGUGAAGUCGUAACAAGGUAAC
rnacentral:rRNA from 1 species